AUGAACGCUGGCGGCGUGCCUAAUACCUGCAAGUCGAGCGAACGGACGAGAAGCUUGCUUCUCUGAUGUUAGCGGCGGACGGGUGAGUAACACGUGGAUAACCUACCUAUAAGACUGGGAUAACUUCGGGAAACCGGAGCUAAUACCGGAUAAUAUUUUGAACCGCCUGGUUCAAAAGUGAAAGACGGUCUUGCUGUCACUUAUAGAUGGAUCCGCGCUGCAUUAGCUAGUUGGUAAGGUAACGGCUUACCAAGGCAACGAUGCAUAGCCGACCUGAGAGGGUGAUCGGCCACACUGGAACUGAGACACGGUCAAGACUCCUACGGGAGGCAGCAGUAGGGAAUCUUCCGCAAUGGGCGAAAGCCUGACGGAGCAACGCCGCGUGAGUGAUGAAGGUCUUCGGAUCGUAAAACUCUGUUAUUAGGGAAGAACAUAUGUGUAAGUAACUGUGCACAUCUUGACGGUACCUAAUCAGAAAGCCACGGCUAACUACGUG
rnacentral:rRNA from 1 species